AUUGAACGCUGGCGGCAGGCCUAACACAUGCAAGUCGAGCGGAUGACGGGAGCUUGCUCCUUGAUUCAGCGGCGGACGGGUGAGUAAUGCCUAGGAAUCUGCCUGGUAGUGUGGGACAACGUUUCGAAAGGAACGCUAAUACCGCAUACGCCCUACGAGAGAAAGCAGGGGACCUUCGGGCCUUGCGCUAUCAGAUGAGCCUAGGUCGGAUUAGCUAGUAGGUGAGGUAAUGGCUCACCUAGGCGACGACCCGUAACUGGUCUGAGAGGAUGAUCAGUCACACUGGAAAUGAGACACGGUCCAGACUCCUACGGGAGGCAGCAGUGGGGAAUAUUGGACAAUGGGCGAAAGCCUGAUCCAGCCAGGCCGCGUGUGUGAAGAAGGUCUUCGGAUUGUAAAGCACUUUAAGUUGGGAGGAAGGGCAGUAAGCUAAUACCUUGCUGUUUUGACGUUACCGACAGAAUAAGCACCGGCUAACUCUGUGCCAGCAGCCGCAGUAAAAC
rnacentral:rRNA from 1 species